rnacentral:rRNA from 1 species
GACGAACGCUGGCGGCGUGCUUAACACAUGCAAGUCGAACGCUGAAGCUUGGUGCUUGCACUGGGUGGAUGAGUGGCGAACGGGUGAGUAAUACGUGGGUAACCUGCCCUUGACUCUGGGAUAAGCCUGGGAAACUGGGUCUAAUACUGGAUAUGACAUGCCACUGCAUGGUGGUGUGUGGAAAGGGUUUUACUGGUUUUGGAUGGGCUCACGGCCUAUCAGCUUGUUGGUGGGGUAAUGGCCUACCAAGGCGACGACGGGUAGCCGGCCUGAGAGGGUGACCGGCCACACUGGGACUGAGACACGGCCCAGACUCCUACGGGAGGCAGCAGUGGGGAAUAUUGCACAAUGGGCGGAAGCCUGAUGCAGCGACGCCGCGUGAGGGAUGACGGCCUUCGGGUUGUAAACCUCUUUCAGCACGGAAGAAGCGAGAGUGACGGUACGUGCAGAAGAAGCGCCGGCUAACUACGUG